rnacentral:rRNA from 1 species
CCUACGGGUGGCUGCAGUAGGGAAUAUUGCGCAAUGGGGGAAACCCUGAAGGAGCAACGCCGCGUGGAGGAUGAAGGUUUUAGGAUUGUAAACUCCUUUUGUUAGAGAAGAUUAUGACGUUGUCUAACGAAUAAGCACCGGCUAACUCCGUGCCAGCAGCCGCCGGCAUACGGAGGGUGCAAGCGUUACUCGGAAUCAAUGGGCGUAAAGAGUGCGGAGGCGGGGGAAAAAGUCCAAUGUGAAAUCCUGUAGCUUAACUACAGAAAUGCAAUUGAAACUGGUAAUCUGGAGUGUGGGAGAGGUAGGUGGAAUUCUAGGUGUAGGGGUAAAAUGCGUAGAGAUCAAGAGGAAUACUCAUUGCGAAGGCGACCUGCUGGAACAUUACUGACGCUGAUGCACGAAAGCGUGGGGAGCAAACAGGAUUAGAUACCCCGGUAGUC